rnacentral:lncRNA from 1 species
AGAAAAUUACUGCACGUUCCUAUCUCGGCUACUGGUGUGCAUACAGAAGGGUGGCAAAUCGCUUUCUACCACUGUAUCUUUUGUUCAGGUAACAUAAUACACGCAUAUUUAGUUUUUUUAACACUUCGGGUGUUAAAGUGCUGUAUAUGUAAUAUGAAUUGACCUGCACCCAUUCUACAACUCCUAAUAAUUCCAAUGAUAAUCACGUUGUUAUUUUUUUUUUCCUAGUUAAAAGGAUAGUAUGGCGAAUCUAGAUGUUAAAAUUUGUAACGUACAGAAGUGAUCAGAGACAGAAAACCAACACUCAUGCGCAGAUGGACACAAACACUCCUGAAACGCACCCAUUUUCCACUCUCACCCUUUUCUGACUGCUAUAGUAGUAUCCGUUUUUUUUUCCUUUCUUUAUGGUUUCACUAUAUUCUUUUACAGGUAUUUAAUCUUUUUUUUACUUUAGAUAUGUCUUUCUUCUUUAAUAACUUUUUUUUCUCUUCUAUGACAUUUUGCCAUCUGUCUUAUUUACUUACCCUAUAGGAAAGUAUCCACCUCCCUGUAGUGUUUUUCUGGUUUUAUUACAUUUUUUCUUGGUUUAUCACGGGCCUCCCUUACUUCCAGUCGCUUCUUUGUCUGCAAUUUAAAAUGAAUAUGACAUUUAAUGUCAUACUAUAGUUACCAGAACAAUUACAGCUCAAUGUAGUUGUUCUGGUGUCUGUAGCCCGUCCCUGUUGGUUUUUAACCGUUUAACCCUUUAAGGACGGAGCCAAAUGUACACGUUGUGAACGAAACAAAAUGUAAACAAAACCUGGCUUUUGCGCUACAUGUCUGUCCAACCGUAAUUCACCUCUUUCAUAUUAAAUGCACCCACCCUUAUUAUAUAUCAUUUUAUUCAGGGGAAACAGGGCUUUCAUUUAAUAUCAAAUAUUUAGCUAUGAAACAUAAUUUAAUAUGAAAAAAAUGCGAGAAAAUAAGAAUUUUUAAAAAAAUUUUAGUUCUACAUGACAUUUUAACUGUCAAUGUCAUAAUACUGUUUGCGUUUACUGCGAUAAAAUACACAUAUUUGUAUUCAGCAAAGUCUCACGUGUAAAACAGUACCCCCUAUGUACAGGUUUUAUGGCGUUUUGGUAAGUUACAGGGUCAAAUAUAGCACGUUACAUUUGAAAUUGAAAUUCGCCAGAUUGGUUACGUUGCCUUUGGGACUUUAUAGUAGCCCAGGAAUUAAAUUUACACCCAUAAUGACAUACCAUUUGCAAUAGUAGACAACCCAAGGUAUUGCAAAUGGGGUAUGUCCAGUCUUUUUUAGUAGCCAUUUGGUCACAAACAUAGGGGUAAUUUUCAUUCUUGGGCUACCAUAGGGUCUCAUAGGCACAGUAACCAAUCUGGCGAAUUUUAAUGUGAAAAAAAUGAAACGCAAGUGUCACGAGCGUGGGCUAUAGGCCCAGCCGAGACAGUGGGGAGAGUGUGGAAGUGACAGGGUUAAUGACACCAGACCCUUGGUUACCUGUUGCUAGUCCCAGCAACCACUCAAUUAACCCCUGCAAUCCCUUCUACACUAUCCCCCUUAGUACUAUUGCCACCACCAAGACUUUUAAACCCGGGUGUCUUAGGUUACCCCACACACAGGAGAAUUAUAGUAUCACAGUUCUACUUUUACUGAUAAAACAUAUAUAGUUAACCCCUUUUGGUAACGUGUUUACCUGAGCUUUCCUCUGGAGAGUGAAGCUCAUAGAGAACAGAGACACAAGCUGAUUAAGUAAACAUUUAAUCUGACAAAAAGGAUUCACAGUGCUGAAUACAAAAUACAGAAAUAAAUGAAAUACAGAUAACAAAUUGCAAAACAGUACAUAAAAUAAAAUAGGAGAAAACACAAGAAAUUCCUUACAUAUAUUUACCCCAUAUAGAAUUCUUGUGGGAGUCUUAGAUGGUAUAGGUCUCCUAGAAGUUACUGACAAAAGAAAAAUGAAUAACUGACUUUCCUGGAUAGUCCAACACCCUCAUAUAUCUAAGCUAGUUGUUUCUCAGUGGGCAGACACCUGGGGGGGGGAUCAGAGGGGGUUGGUCUGGCAGUCUAUUGCCCACUCUAUGAAAUUCCUUGUGUCCAGCUCUGGUGAUGGCUAUCUAGAUGUUUUAUGGUCUAGGCCUGGUGCAAGAUCAAAGACCAUAAUAAACGUCAUCCCAAGGUUUACAAAAAAACAACUCUUAACAUAUAUAAACACACAUCAAACACCAACUCAUGCUUUUGGCAUGACAGCAAGCCUUAUAUUUGACGCUGUAACUUUUGAAAACACCAUAAAACCUGUACAUGAGGGGUACUGUUGUACUCGGGAGACUCUGCUGAACACAAAUAUUUGUGUUUCAAAACAGCAAAAAGUAUCACAGCAAAAAACUGCACUUUUACUGGCGAUAUCAUCGUUGUAAUACAUUUUACUGUUUUGAAACACUAAUAUUUGUGUUCAGCGAAGUCUCCCGAGUAGAACAGUACCCCCAAUGUACAGGUUUUAUGGUGUCUUGGAAAGUUAUAGGGUUAAAUAUAGUGCUAGCAAAUUAAAUUCCCUUUACUUUCGGCAUGGGUUGUCAUGCAGGUCCCGCUAAUUGUAAUUAAUUAAGAUACCUAAUUAUGUAAAAAUAUUACAUAAAUAUAUAUGUAGAAUUAAUAUAUGUGUGUGUGUGUGUGUGUGUAUAUAUAUAUAUAUAUAUAUAUAUAUGUAUGUGAAUCUAUAUGUGUAUAUAUAUAAAUUUUUAAAAAUAUUUUUAUUUAUAUAUAGGUAUAUAUAUAGUGAUAUAUACGUAUAGAUUUAUGUAUGUAGAUAUAUAUAUUAUUUAGUUCUAUGUGUAUUUUGAUAUAUAUAUAUAUAUAUAUAUUAUCACAAUACAGUUAGAACGAAAUAACACACAUCUAUAUAUUUUUUAAUAAUUUUUUAAAUAUUUUUAAUUUUAUUUUUUAAUGUAUUUACAUAUUUAACUUUUUUAUAUUAUAUAUAAAUAUAUAUAUAUAUAUAUAACAAUAAUUAUAUAUAUUUAAUCAGUAUCAGUCUACGUGUAAUUUGAUAUUAAUAUAUAUAUAUAUAUAUUAAUAGUAAAAUACACGUAGACAGUGUAUGUGUGUGUAUGUAUAUGUGUGUGUGUAUAUAUAUAUAUAUAUAUAUAUAUAUAUAUAUAUAUAUAUAUAUAUAUAUAUAUAUAUAUAUACUUAGAUCAUAUAUAUAUAUAUAUUUUUUUUUAGACUUUUUUUAUCAUUUAUUUAUUUUAUUUUCAGCCAGCAGGGGGACCACCUGUAAUUACAGGCAGCCCCUCUGCUGGCAAUGCAGGAGGCAGCCUACCCGGCCAUGUGAUUGUGAGGUCCUCGCAAGGAGGAUCUACCGCGGGGGGGUUCCCUGGGAGUCCCCCCACCGCGAUCGCCGGCGUGGGACCGCCGGCGACCGGGUAAGUAAGAAAAGACCGUAGGGCGUACAAUUACGCCCGGCGGCGUUUAGAGCCGCCUAAAAUAGGGCAUAAUGGUACGCCCUCCGGUCUUAAGGGGUUAAAGAGGUGGUCCAAAACGCAGCCACGUGGCAUAACAUCUCAUCGCCGUCUUCGAUACUCAUCUGCAUGCCAGCAGUUCCAAGCUAGAGAUCGCACUGGGGGAACUUGCCUGACAACCCAGGCAGUCCCCCUAUGGACAGGCUGACUAGAUUUUGAAAACAAUAAACCGGGACACCCAUUAGAAAUACAAAAAUCUCUAGAGAAAUACAUACACAUUAGAAGUCUUUAACCUAUUCCUGGCCGCAAGUGACUGUUACAGCUCAUCCCCUUCCUGGUACUCAAAUGAGUCUCUUUUAAUUUACAUUUUGUAGGAGCAUGAUCAGAGCACACACAUACCCUAGACCAGGGCCAUCUUAACAGCAUAAUAGACCCCUGGGAAGAGCUUAUAUUUAUUGGUACCUCCAACAAAUACAAUACAUACACAUACUGCUGAAUACACACACACAUAUAGACAUGCACAAUACAGAUUGCUGUGUGCACCCACAGACAGACUGCUGUAUGCACAGAAAGACAGACUGCUGAAUAUAGAAAUAAAGAAUAUGGAACCUCCAAUGGCGCUAGAGAGUUGCUGGCAAUCCCUCUAUGGGAAUUAAGCACUCAAUUAGACCAAAUCAGUACAAGUACAAAAAAACCCCACAAAACAGUGGGUGUCGCACUCUACAUGCAAUCUUAACAAAAGUGCAAGUGCAGAACAUAUAUGUGUUAUAGUAAUAAAUGUGUUUAUACCGUAAUAAGGUUUGGUUCCACAAGUGGCUGUUAGGAAUAAAUAAACUUGACAUAGAGUAGUACAGUCAAGGAGUACCAAAUAUGAGGUAUGUUACAAAAUUUAUAUAUUCACAUCCCACUCACGUUGUUUUGAGCCUGUGUAAACUGGCUCAAGUAAAAUCACUUUUGGAGUGGUAAUGGUAUUUUCAAAUUGAAGAUCUGGCAGUUGACCUCACUCCAAACAUAUGAAAAUGGAAAUGCACCAGAUUAAAUUCAAACAUGUAGUUUAUUUGACAAAAAAUAAGUAAAGUCUUACAUAGAAGUACAAUAUCUUUAGCCACAAUGUCCUUUUUUUUUAACACAACGUGUUGUGUGUGUGUGUUGGGCGAGAUUGGGAUGUAGUUUGUGUGUAGGGGGCGAGAUUGGGAUGUAGUGUGUGUGUGUGUGUAGGGGGCGUGAUAGGGAUGUAGUGUGUGUGGGUGGGGGCAGGAUAGGGAUGUAGUAUGUGUGGGUGGGGGCAGUAUAGGAUGUAGUGUGUGUGCGGGGGGUCAGUAUAGGGAUGUAGUGUGUGUGCGGGGGGGCAGUAUAGGGAUGUAGUGUGUGUGCGGGGGGGCAGUAUAGGGAUGUAGUGUGUGUGGGGGGCAGUAUAGGGAUGUGGUUUUGUAGCAGGAUAGGGCUGUGGUGUGGGUGUGUGUGGGGCGGCAGGGUAGGGAUGUGGUGUGUGGGGCGGCAGCGACUUCCUCAGGUACAUAGACUGUCCUGCAGUGAGUAAAUGUUUUUUAAACCCAUUUUUCCCACCAAAAUCUGCAUUUUUAGCUCCACCCAUCCAUGCAAAAUUACUUCCUUGAGAGGGGACGUCCUAUUUGCAUCAUUUUGGGCACCAAAAAGGCGGCCGCAAGGACGCAUAACGUCACUUCCGGUUCCAUCGGAUGCGUUCCAUCAGCCAUAUCCGAAUCGCAUAUGCAUUCCAAUUAUAUUGAAAGUGUCCUCUAGGCUCCCAUCUUCCACAGUUUCUUUCUCCAAAGCAAAAUAAAGGUGUUCAAAGGACCGUUUUGGUUGUGGGUGGGUAGUCCUAAAGGGGAUUGGUUAGAAAAUGAAAUCCAGUUGCCAUAUUGCAAAGUCUUAGUGGACCUAUUUUUAUUCUGCAUUUAAUGAUUUUAGGUUGUAGUAUGUAUCAGUUAUAACAUGUGCAUAUUAUAUACUUAUUUAAUUUUAUAUAUAUAAUAGGAUAAGGAUAAGUGCACUUUUAUUGAUGAGAUCAUCAUUGUGAUAUGUUCAGGGCCAUCUUUAAGGAGGGGCAAAAGGGGCAGCUGCCCCGGGCCCAGUUACUCCUGGGGGCCCUAAGGCAGCUGCCCCAUGGGCCCUCUGCGGCACCUGAGGUAAUCAGGGGCCACAGCCCUUUAAUACUGCUCUGGACCGGCCCGAGCCCCUGUUAUAUGGGGGGUGGCUGACUACAUACUCACAGCUAGCCCCCUCACAUACUUCCCUGUGAGUCUCUUUGUUUCCUGGGCAUGCUGGGAGGAAGUGAGGUCAGAUUGCUUCCUCCCAGUAAGAACUGAUCACUUCCUUCUCAGUGCCGCUGGGGAGGAGGCACACACCACAUGGAGGAGGAUGCAAGCAUUGUGGGGGAGAGGGACUGAGAAAGCUGAUGGCAGACUCCCAUCAGCCUGGGCCAGCAAGCUCUCACUGGACACCAGGGAAGCCACCUUUCUGUACCCAAAAUGUAAGGAGACAGGAGGGUGGCUAAAUAUGUUUUGUUUUUUGUUUUGCUAAUUUCUGAUAUCACUUUUAUUUAAGUGUGUUGGUGUUUGUAAUGUAACACACAGGGAAUAAGUACAUGUUAAAAAUCCUAGAAGAACCUGACAGUUCCCUAUUAAAUAUAAAUUUAAAAAGUAUUUAUUUUAACAUAUUAUUGCAUCAAGUGUUAUCAAAGGCUGUAUACCAUUUCCAAAUGUCACUUUUGCCAAAUUCUGGACCAGGGUAUGUAAGAACAGAGUUGAGACAUUAUAUUGACCAAGGUUACUGGGAGUUGCUGUCCAAGAGCUGCUAGAAGGCAGAGAUUAAAAUAUGUAAAUGUACACAUAUAUAUGUAUCUGGCUGUGUUUAUGUCCUUGUGUGUAUCUGGCUGUGUUUGUCUGUGUGUCAGUGUUUCUGUGUGUGUGUAUACCUCAUACACCUGUAUGUGCACCUGUGUGUGUGUGUUUCGGUGUGUGUGUAAGUGUGCAUCUGAGUGUGUGGUAAUGCAUACAUCCCAGCAUUUCAAUGCCAACACAAAUACAUUCCUACAUUCCAUCUCUAGCACUGUACACAUAUACACCCCUGCAUUUAUACCUUUAUGUAUGUGUGUAUCUGAGUGUGUGUGUAUAUACCUGUGUCAGUGUGUGUGUGUGUAUGUGCCAGUGUGUGUUUAUCAAAGUGCUUGUAUCUGUGUGUCAAAGGGUGUGUAUCUGAGUGUGUGUGUAUGUGUAUGUGCCAGUAUGUGUCAAGGUGUGAGCAUGUGUCAGUGUGAGCAUGUGUGUAUCUGCGUGUUAAUGUGUAUGUGUAUAUGUGUUAUAGAAAUCACACAACAUGCAAACAGACCCCUGCAAACACAAACAUUACAAACACACCAGUUUGCUGAAACACUAAUACUACACACAAAUGUACACAUGUAUUUAAAAGACAACACUACAUCCAAACACCCCCUGCAUGCAAAUACAAACAUUACAUGCAAACACAUUCCUGUAUUAAAACGCUAAAAUUAUAUACAAACACCAACUCUACACACAAAAGUACACCUGCAUUUAAAAGCCAACACUACACACAAUCACACAUCCCUGCAUUAAAAUGCAAACACUACACACAAGUACACCACUGCAUUCCAAUGGUAACAGUACAUACAAAUACACUCCUACAUGCACACAUACACUCUAUACAAUAACAUGCUGACAUUCAUUUGCACAAACACUGCUCAAAAAUACAACCCUGCAAGGAUAGUAGAUCCCCAGCUGGCAUAGCAUCGCAGGAGUUGUAUGACAGAUGGGGAUCUAUCUUUUCUUUACUCUUGUGCUACAGGGCAGGCCUGAAUUUUUUUCACCUGUAUGUGCACCUGUGUGUGUGUGUUUCGGUGUGUGUGUAAGUGUGCAUCUGAGUGUGUGGUAAUGCAUACAUCCCAGCAUUUCAAUGCCAACACAAAUACAUUCCUACAUUCCAUCUCUAGCACUGUACACAUAUACACCCCUGCAUUUAUACCUUUAUGUAUGUGUGUAUCUGAGUGUGUGUGUAUAUACCUGUGUCAGUGUGUGUGUGUGUAUGUGCCAGUGUGUGUUUAUCAAAGUGCUUGUAUCUGUGUGUCAAAGGGUGUGUAUCUGAGUGUGUGUGUAUGUGUAUGUGCCAGUAUGUGUCAAGGUGUGAGCAUGUGUCAGUGUGAGCAUGUGUGUAUCUGCGUGUUAAUGUGUAUGUGUAUAUGUGUUAUAGAAAUCACACAACAUGCAAACAGACCCCUGCAAACACAAACAUUACAAACACACCAGUUUGCUGAAACACUAAUACUACACACAAAUGUACACAUGUAUUUAAAAGACAACACUACAUCCAAACACCCCCUGCAUGCAAAUACAAACAUUACAUGCAAACACAUUCCUGUAUUAAAACGCUAAAAUUAUAUACAAACACCAACUCUACACACAAAAGUACACCUGCAUUUAAAAGCCAACACUACACACAAUCACACAUCCCUGCAUUAAAAUGCAAACACUACACACAAGUACACCACUGCAUUCCAAUGGUAACAGUACAUACAAAUACACUCCUACAUGCACACAUACACUCUAUACAAUAACAUGCUGACAUUCAUUUGCACAAACACUGCUCAAAAAUACAACCCUGCAAGGAUAGUAGAUCCCCAGCUGGCAUAGCAUCGCAGGAGUUGUAUGACAGAUGGGGAUCUAUCUUUUCUUUACUCUUGUGCUACAGGGCAGGCCUGAAUUUUUUUUUUGUUGCACCAAGGCACUCUCUACAUUGGUUUCACCUCUAGGUUGGGGUGGAGGGAGUGAUUGCAUGCCCAGGGGGCCCAAACAGAUGCUUGCCCGGGGUCCAAUCAAUAUUAAAGACGGCCCUGGAUAUGUUUUACAGUUCUCAAACACUAAUAUUUGUGUUCCACAAAGUCUCCCGAGUACAACAGUAACCCCAACCCCCAUGUACAGGUUUUAUGGUGUUUUGGAAAGUUACAGGGUUAAAUAUAGGGCUUGCAAAUUGUAAUUUGUAAAAUCACAUAAUUAUGUAAAAAAAUCAGAUACAUAUACAUGUAGAAUUUAAAUAUAUAUAUUAUAUAAACACACACACUGUUAAAGUAGAGAUUGUAGCCGUAUUAGUCCAGUGAUGCAGAUGUAAAAAAAAAACACAAAACAAAACCAAAACAGAUAAAAUUCGUAUCUUGUAAUUCCUUUUUUUUUAAUUUUUUUUUUAUUGGACCAAAGCAAAAAAAAAAAAACACACACACACACACACACACACACACUUUGUGCUUGUAAUUUCUAAUACGUAAUGGAAUGUAGAAGGAGAUGCAAAGUUGGUUGAGGUGUGCCGAAAUAAUAAAAAGAGGGCAAAAAGAGGAUUCAAAGUAAGCACACUUUAUUGCAAGGUUACUGAAGGCUCGUCUGAGCUCCCUCUCUGGUCGGGGGAUAUACCAUAUUUAUCGGCGUAUAACGCACUUUUUCUCCCAGAAAAUUAUGGGUGCGUGUUAUACGCCGGCCCUUUAAAUACUGCAGCCGCCUGAGCGCUCUGUCAAGAGCGGUCAGGCGGCUGCAGUUGGUUCUCACCUCUCCUGUAGCGUGGCCGAGCUGCUCUGCUGUCCGCGGUGGCCGGCCGGAGUGAUAGGAAGGUGCACGCUCAGUGUGCACCUUCCUGUCAGUCCGACCUGGUACAGGAAACAGAAACUCCUGUUCCGCGCGGAACAGGAGUUUCUGUUUCCUGUACCCGGUCGGACUGACAGGAAGGUGCACACUGAGCAUGCACCUUCCUAUCACUCCGGCCGGGCACCGAGGACAGCAGAGCAGCUCGGCCACGCUACAGGGGAGGGGGGUAAGAAGAGGGGGGGUAAGAAGAGGGGGGGGUGCAAGAAGAGGGGGGAGUAAGAAGAGGGGGGAGGGGGCAAGAAAUGGGUAACAGAGGGGAGAGGUGAGAGGGAGGGGGAGAGCGGUGGAGUAAAGUGAGGGAGGGGUAGUAAGAAAUGGGAUGAGGAGGAGGUAAGGAGAGUAAGAAAGGGGGUUAAGAAGAGGGGGGGGAGUAAGAAGGUAAGAAGAGGGGAGGGAAGUAAGAAAGGGGGGUAAGAAGAGGGGAGGGGGAGUAAGAAAGGGGGUAAGAGGGGGAAGUAAGAAGAGGGGGAGGGGGGAGUAAGAAAGGGGGUAAGAAGAGGGGGAAGGGGGAAUAAGAAGGGGGUAAGAAGUUCUUUAUUUGAAAUUUAAAGGACCACUCUAGGCACCCAGACCACUUCAGCUUAAUGAAGUGGUCUGGGUGCCAGGUCCCUCUAGGAUUAACCCUUUUUUUUUUUUUUUAAACAUAGCAGUUUCAGAGAAACUGCUAUGUUUAUACUGAGGGUUAAUCCAGCCUCCAGAACCUCUAGUGGCUGUCUCAUUGACAGCCGCUAGAGGCGCUUGCGUGCUUCUCACUGUGAAAAUCACAGUGAGAGCAUGCAAGCGUCCAUAGGAAAGCAUUGUAAAUGCUUUCCUAUGCGACCGGCUGAAUGCGUGCGCGGCUCCUGCUGCGCAUGCGCAUUCAGCCGAUGACGUAGCGAGCAAGGAGGAGAGAAGGAGUACAGUUCCCCGCCCGGCGUUGGAGAAAGGUUAGUGUUUAACCCCUUCCUCUCUCCAGAGCCCGGCGGGAGGGGGACCCUGAGGGUGGGGGCACCCUCAGGGCACUAUAGUGCCAGGAAAACGAGUAUGUUUUCCUGGCACUAUAGUGGUCCUUUAAGUUUUUUUUUCCUGAAAUUUCUUUCUUAAAAUGAGGUGCGUGUUAUACGCCGGUGCGUGUUAUACGCCGAUAAAUACGGUAAGUAAAUAAGUUGAGGAUUUCCAGCGUUCCAGUCUCUCAGUGACGUGGACCGGGGUGUUAGAGCUUUAAGCCGAUACAGAACGAGCGACCAGAGAAGGAAACCAGGUUGUAGCCUGUGGCAGAACCAACCUCGCCACUGGGCAUUGGAGAAGCCUGUUUGUCCGCCUCCUGCCUUCUGACUAUGUCCCCUGGGAGACUUUGCCCUGUGUAAGCAUUAUUUUGAAUACAUGGCGAUUUGACUGUGUUUGUGGGAUCUGAGCGCUGUUCGGAUAUAGUGAGCACUCAGAUCCAAGCUAUCUGGGGAUAGGUGAAUGUGGGGGCUCUGUUCAGUAUGAUAGGAAUUGUGUGUUUUUGCUGUUGUUGUAAAUGGAGAUAUUUUCUGUAUGCUGGAGAUAAUUGGCUUACCACACCCAAGCCAUGCUUGCAGUCGGUCAAAUAGGUCUUCCAUCUAUCUUUUGAACCACUGGACCAAUUUGUAUGAUUUUGACACGUUUGUAUUUGGAGUAUGCUGAUUCUGAAAAUGUAAGUUUAUAUGAAUGUGAUGUAUACUUUUAAAGUUAUGAAUAUUGUGUAAAACUGUGUAUUUUCCUAUCACAGGCAGAGGGGAGGAUUUCUGCUGGAUAUGGGAGUGUUUAGCUGUGUUGUAAUGUAUUUAUUGGUUUGUUCUUCAAAACCCUGUGGGCGGUACUAUGUUUGUAAAAUGGGCAUAAAAGCAGAGUGUUUGAUUAAAAGUUUCAGUUCUACUUCACCCUCAAUUUGGAGUGCUGUCUCUUAUUGGAGGAAUCUGCUACAAGGGAUUGCUAUGCUCUGCAUAUUCCCUUGAUAUAAUCACUCCUAAGCUCUUUUCAGAGCUUGUUCCUGCUUCACUCUGAAGGAAGAGAGGUUCGGUCUGCGGUGGUUGUGGUGUCGUCUAGAGGGCUUAGAGCCCUCAGGAAGCGCCAGGAGCAUCCUUAAAAGGAGGUAUCCAGUCGGGGUGCUAGGUGAUCCGUUACAUAGCCCAACUUUGAUGGUAGGGUUUUGUUGUGAGAAAUUAAUUUAGCUGAUAGUGAGUGCGAGCCCCUGGAGUAGUAAUAGUAGAGUGUCAGUGUAGGCGGUUUAAGAAAGGUGAGUGAUUAGGGCAGGUUGUGAGGACGUGGUGUUGAACCCUCGGUAAAGGUAGAGUUCAUGGAAUUGUGUGAUAAUUUAAGGUGUAGGUGAGAGGAGGAGGCAAAAAGAAAACCACCAUAAUUUUAAUGGCAAAGUCUCCUUGUAAGUAAAACUCUGCAGUGAAUUAGUUAAAAAUAGUCAGUGUCCUAGCGUUAGUGUUGUUGGGUAAAAAAAUGGGUGAUGCGUGAGUGCCUGUGCGUGGUGUAAUUGUGCGCUUAUUCCAGGAUUUGCUCAUGGAAUGGUGGUAUCCUGGAUGGUAGGUGGUGGCCAUAGGGAGUGCCUGGAAGAAGACCUGAAAUUAAGAGCGUGACAGAGCAUCAGCGGCUGUGUUGUGGACACCAGGAAAAUGAAUGCAGACUAGAUGGAAACGAGAGGUAGCUGCCAGCCAAGUCAGCUUGCGAAUCAGCCUCAUAAUGAUUAACGAGGAUGACCGCCCCUUGUCAAAGAUUUCACAAGCUGCUGAGUUGUCUGAGUAGCAUUUUUUACUGCCUUGCCGGUCCAGAGAUGUGUGGGCGGCUGCCAUGAUGUGGUAGAUCUCAAACAAUGUGGAUGACUCUCUAAAGGCCGGCAAGGCAUCCGUCUCAGUGGGCCAGUGAUCCCUAAACCAGUGGUUGCUGAAAAUGGCUGUGAACCCUGUGUGUGCUGCUGCAUCUGUGUAAAUUGUAGGUGAGCUCUGAAAGUGGAUGAAAGAACAAAGAGACCCCGUUCCAUACGACCAAGAAUAUACUCCACAUGUGUAAAUCUGCCCUGGCCGGAUCGUCCAGAAUGAUUGGGCAGGAGUUGGGCACCCCUUGGAGCAAAUUUAAGUAGCCCAGAGACAAAAAGACCUACUCUGUGGAAUGAUACGCAUCGCAAAGUUAAGGGACCCAAAUAAGGACUGGAGGCCCCUCCUUUGCGCACGCAACACUCCGCAGGAACAGGACAACUUUGUCCCUAAUGUGAGUCAAUUACCCUGGUGGUGGACUGGCUGGGAAAGUAGUGGUGUCCAAGACUAUGCCCGAGAAACCGAGCUUGGUAGAGGGAGUUUGCUCGGUGACAGAGGGACCCCGAGUGUGGUAAAAAGGGGGCUUGUGUUGUGAAUACUGCUGGGUGUUUUUUGAUCCCGGUUUCAUCGACAUAAAUCGUCCAGAUAGUGGAUAACUGAUGGAUACCUGAUUAUGUUUAGGCGCAGCCAGCAGAGGGUUUCUGCGAAGAUGACAAAUAACUUUGGGAUGCUCAUGGAGCUGAACGUGAACCUGGUUGAAAAAGUACUUAUUUCUCCAUUUAACACCGUGUAAGUGUCAUAGUGUAGGGUGAAUGGGUAGUUUAAAGGUGUUGGAUUAUGUCUGUCUUGCUUAACCAUGCCUUACUACCUGUUGAAAUAAUAGCUUGCAUGGCAUCUUACGUUUUUUUGGCAUAUUGCAGUGAGAACUCCUCAGCGGGUAUGAGAGAGUUGAUGCUAGGAAUGGAGAAAGAAAGUGGCGCAGAUAGGUCUAUAAUGAAAAAAACGUUUUAUUGGAGAAUUUGUGAAUGGCUACCCCGAUGGGGUUGGUACGCAAAUAUGAGAAUGAUAAAGACAAGAAAGGGACGAUCAUGAAACGAGCCUUGAUUACUGUGGACAGAAGGUGGUCCACCGUAAGUGGAUCAUUGGAUGCAGGUAAUAGGUUAGGGCAUCGAGUGUACCUGUGGGGAUGGCGAUAAAGCCUGGGUGAAACCCCUGUGAAAAACCUGUCACCAGAAAAUCUACCAGAUGCCUAGCUGGGUGUGAAUGCAGAUAGUAAUCCAGUAUGUCCAUGUUACCUCGGUUAGUCGUAACUUAGAUGACAGUUGGGCCGAGCACAUAGACUUGGUGUGAGCUCUGAAGCAAAUAGAGCAGAUGUGCAACAACCUGCACGCAGUGAAACUGCAUGCCCCUGCAUUAACGUUAUUGCACAUCUGCAACCUGCCCAGGAAUGAAAUGGUCUGCCCAGCUUGUCCGUCUGCCCACCUUCCUGUCUUGUGUGUGGGGUGGAGUGGUGAGAAGUGGAAGUGGACUUCCCACUUCACCGAUGCGUGCCCUUGCAAGGGCACGCAUCGGUGAAGUGGGAAGUGGAAGAACAGGAGGCUUAGGACGAGGGCCUUAAACCGGCAAAGUGACGGCAAGACAUUUCUGUGUCCAUCUGACACCAGUCAUUUCUUAUGUUGAACUGUGCCAGAUGAGUAGCAGCCCUGGCCGAUGGAUGACUUAUGAUAGUCAUGGAAUGAGUACCCUCCGUACUUAAUGCCUAAGUCAACUACCUUGUGCAUGUACGAGUUGAGCUCUACCCUCCUAUGUGGGUACCGUGCGGAAUGUGAACCCUUGUGAACUAGUGCCUGGCCUGAGAUUGUUGGCCUGUGCCGUCAUGUAUAAUUCUUCCUUUCUAGAGGUAGCUGGAAAGGGUAUACUCUUGAGACUGAGCUCUGCUGAUAUUUUGGAAUAGCUCAAUAUCUCAGGGAUCUGAGGGUAGAAGAGGGUGAGGGAUUCCUCUGGAGACCAGGGCCUGACUGGCGUGUUGGGUAUUUCAUCCAAUGGCAGAUCGAUGAUUGGGAUGGAUUCUUGUGACAUUCUCAAAAUGGAACAUUGAUUUGGAUAAGUAGGGUGUUAUGAAGGUGGGGGAUGAGACCUUCGGAGAACUGGCUUGCUAACUAGUGCCGAGGCGAAGAAUUUAACUAGAACCAAGUGACAGGUGAGGCCCUGCUAGUGCCAAGUGGCACAACCUAUGAUUUUGGCCGAGGGGAUUCAUGGCUACUUGAAUGUGGUGGCAGGAUGUUGGCCUCUCGGUGACCGUAAGAGAUUCAAAACGUGUGGCUGUGACUUGGGAAGCCCUAGCUGUAGCCCUAAAGAAGGGCGAGCGAGGUGGCUAACUAUGAUUUGGUCGUGGGGCUGAAUCUUCGUGUUGAGGUGGGGUGUAGACCUUGCAGGACCGGUGUAUUACUUAGGACAGCUAAGGCCAGCGCCUAACCCUAAAUGCCAGUUCUCUAACCUGGGAUUGUCUUCUUGAAUGAUGUACUUGAACGUAUGUAGAUACUAACCUUGAGUAUUGGUCCUAUUGCUUUGAUACUGUAACGUAAGAACCCGUGUAAGAUGAGGGACCUGAACAUUGGUCUGUAAUUAGAGACAAGCCCCUGGGUAUCCACAAUUGUGAAUUUAAAUGAUAAGAAGGCCAAGUGAGGCCUUUAGGAGAAACAUAAUCAUAGUGAGUAAGAUUUAACAAUACCUGAUGCUGAAAUACAGGAUACCAGGUGGGCUGUUAGUUGUUGAUGGCGUAGAACUUGGCGAGACUGCGGUAUUGGCGCAGAUCUAAGUAAUGAAAUGUAGAAACGAAAGACAAGCAAUGUAUCAUUACAAUUAGUAGUAGCAAAGUGGUGUUGGUUUAGGAGGUGAUUGUCGUUGAAAUCGUAGUGCAGGGUCUUUGCCGUAGCUCGAUUUAGAAGUUUAGAACCCACCUGGAGUGGGGAGGGGGAGAGGGUGGAGGCUAAAUGAGGCCGUGGAGGCUGGAUGAGACCUCAGGGGAAGACAAAAUCAACUGGAAAAAAAAACAACUGGUAAACCUUCUUAUCUGAUACAGUAAUACAGGAUACUGGGAUUACACUUCCUGGAGACUGUUAGAAGGAAGUGUAGUAGAGCCUAAAAACAUAUGCAUACUAAGUAUAACGAACCAGUAUAUGAGGUUUUAGGAAACAGAGAUUUGCAAUGGACUGUAAGGAGCCUGGUGAAAAAAUUAGGGGAAGUUAAUACAUUUAUAAUAUGAGAGACUAAGUUCCAGCGGGUGUAAAUAAUGGUACUGAGUGGUGUAUUUAGUAUACCUUACUUAUUUUGUGAUUAUGGCCUGACCGUGCCUUUAAAAAGAUUUCCCCUGUGUAAAAAUUAAGUGUCCCGUAAAUUAAUAUGACCAUCGCCGAGGAAUAGUGAAAAACAGAUGAAAUAUAUAUUCGCCAGUAGUAACUGAUGAGCCAUAUGCUUAACACAUUAAAAUAUAGGAUUCUGGGAAAGUGAAAGGUGAGUUCUUUCGUUUAAACAAAUGACAUGAUGAAAUACAUUAAACGACAGAUUAGUGACUUUAGACAUUGAAGCCUCCUGCGUUCGGCUAAACGAAGGAACAGAAAGGACUGUGAGCAGAAAAGAAAAUACCUGCGGUCGGUUAAUGGACCGCACAAAAGAAUAAACGAAAGCCAUGUACAAAGCGGUCGACUGUUUAAUCAUACGAAUUAAUAGAUGAACGUGAGUAUGUUAGAUUGCAGUCGGCAGUUUAGUUAUGCCAAAGAACAAAGCAAAGGUAUGGAUCAACAGCAAAAAACUAAUUUGAGGUAGGCUGCACUUGAUGGACGCAAGUCUCUUUUCAGCUAUGUAACUAUGUAACUAUGUGUACUCUGUGGUUGGAUGUUAGCCGCACGAACUGCAGAAAUACACGAACGGAUGAAUAUGCAUGAACGGGUAAGUAUUGUUAUGGAUCAAAUCAAGUGUUUGAUUAUGUGACUAUCUGCUCCUGUUCCAGUUUAUUGAAAUUGAGUGCGUGCACGCUUCCUAGAGUAAUUUCAGACCGGACACAAGUUUCAGGUUCAUGAAAAACUUCAGGAAUGUUUAAUCAGGGGGCGGGGAGCCCCUUAUGAAGACAGAAAUAUGUCACAUGCAUAAUUAUAGAUAACAGGGAAAAUACAUCAACAAUUAGUCACACUUUAAGGAGUCUCAUCUAAUUCCAUCCUACUGGGCGUGAUGUCAUUACUAACAUGGAGCUCUCCUCCACCAUCUUGUUACACAAGAUAGUGGUUGAUGGAGCAGUUACUGAACAAAGGAAGGGAGGGGUUAGAGGGGAAACAGCUACUGAACACAGGAGGGAAGGGGUAGGAGGAGAAGCAGUUACUCUAACAGCCAGGUUAACACAGUGAAUAAUGAGCACAGAUGCACAGAGUAAAUAGACAUUUUACUAAUUCUAAUAUUUUGUCCAUAACAAAGGAGCCUAUCUCUGCAUUUUUAGGCCCGAACGUGGGAAAUAGCUGAAUGCUAUUUCCCACGUUAUGCUUACGUGGACAUGCCGGUCUCGUAACAGAAGCCUGGUAGAGAUGUCGGUAAGAAGCCGGUUGGCAGGCACGGAGGUCGGAGGCAGGAGAGCUGCUGGCGACUAGCUGCUGCUGGAGGCAGGAAAUUUGGCGGGAACUACGGACCGGAAGUGCUGCGACAAACAGCUUGAACUUUAAAGGUGAGUAGGGGGGUAGGAGUUUAUAAAGGGGACAUAACUCCUCCCACAAAUACAGGCCUAAUGGCCUUUUAACAUUUCAUUAUUUUUGACAUGCAUGAGAGUGAGCACUUCCCUUCAGUCCGCCGGCGGCCGGGAACAGGAAACAGAGGUUCCUGUCCCGCGUUCCGCGCCCCCCGGCCACGCUACAUAGACAGGAGGGUAAGGACCACAGGGGGAGGGGAAGGAUCACUGGGGAAGGACCACUGGGAGGGAAGGAACACUGGGAGGGGGAAGGACCACUGGGGAAAGGACCACUGGGAGGGGAGAAGGAUCACUGGGGAAAGGACCACUGGAGGGAAAGGACCACUGGGAGGGGGAAGGACCACUGGGAGGGGAAGGAUCACUGGGGAAAGGACCACUGGAAGGGAAGGACCACUGGGAGGGGGCAGAAGGAUCACUGGGAAAGGACCACUGGGGGGAACCACUGGGAGGGCAGAAGGAUCACUGGGGAAAGGACCACUGGGUGGGGAAAGGACCACUGGGAGAGGGAGAAGGAUCACUGGGGGGGAAAGGACCACUGGGGAGGGAGAAGGACCACUGGGAGGAGAGGGAAGGAUCACUGGGGGGGGGGAUCACUGGGGAAAGGACCACUGGGGAUGGGGAAAGGACCACUGGGGGAUGAGGGGGAAAGGACCCACUGGGGAUGAGGGGAGGCCACUGGGGAGGGAGGAUGGGGAGUUAGGGCCACUGGGGAAGGGGAGUAAGGGCCACUGAGGGAGGAGGGGGGGUCCAUUAAGGGGUUUGGAAGAGGGAGGCCCACCAAACCCCUUUGGUGGGCCUCCGGGCCUCCCUCUCCCAAACCCCUUAAUGGACCCCCCCUCCUCCCUCAGUGGCCCUUACUCCCCUAAGUAGGGAUGACCACUAAGGAGAGGGGGGGAGGGUAAGGACCACUAAGGGGGGGGGGAAAUAGGAUAAUGACCACUGAGGGGAGGAGAUUACCACUAAGGGGGUGGGGGAGGAGGGGAAUGUCUACUAAGGGGUUUGGGAGAGGGAGGACCACUAAGGGGAUGGAUGGAUGGAGGACCACUAAGGGGGAGAGGGGGGAGUGAGAAGACCACCAAGGGGGGAUUACAGGGGGCCAAGGGAGAGCACUAAAGGACAGAAGGGGAGAACACGGAGGGACAGGAGGGAAGGGGAAAUCAAUAAUUGACAGGAGGGGAGAGCACUAUGAAAAAAAUAGAGUUGCUCCCCUCUCAGUCCCUAUCCUACCCCACAAACCUUCUCUUUUACACUACACACAUACACAAUGCAUCCCCCCCCCUCACACACACAGAAACAUACAAUGCAUUCCUACUCACACACAGACACACCCGAAACACACAAUGCAUCCCUUACGUUCACACAAACACUCAUUCUCUUACACACAGAAACAAAAUGCAUCUCUUACACAAUCAAUGCACCCCUUACAGACACACACUGCAUUCAAUUAAAUACACAGAAACACACCUUGCACCCCUUACACACACACACCCAGAAACAUACAAUGCAUUCCUUACACUGCACAUACACACACUACAUCCCUUACAGAAAUUGGUAUCCCUAUACACUACAUUCUAUAAGAACACACACACAUUGCAUCCUCUACAAUAACACAUAAAACAUCCCCUACACUCAUACACUCCACUUCCUGUGAGAGAACUCAUGGGUGGGCCAUGUAGCUGAAUUUAUGGGUGGGCAUUGUAGGCAUACUCACGGUCAAGCCCUGGGGGCCCAGACCUUGAGCUCUGUAAGGGGCCCUAAAAUGGAGCUGCUUCCUGUUCGUUAAUUGUUGUGAGCACUGUUACAAACAGUCUCCAGAGAGCCUUUUCUACACUAGACCUGUGGAGCCAGACUGAGUCCAUCAUCAGCCUCUUGUCCUCAUCUGGUGGUAAGUAGGCAAUCCAAUAUAUUAUUAGUGGUACUAAUCUCUAAUUUACCUCACAUUAAAUGGAUACUAUAGUCACCAGAAGCACUACAGCAUAAUGUAGUGGUUCUGGUGUCUAUAGCAUAGCCUGUGCCUGUAGGCUUUUUAAUGUAAACACACUGUCUUUUCAGAUAAAAGACACUUUGUGAAGACUGGCGUUCGCCCAUAUGGCAGAGCAUAUGGGCAGGGCAUUGUGAUGUCACAUGAUGGGCAGGACAUAUGGGGGGGCGGCCAAACAUUUUUUUUGCCUAGGGCGGCAAAAAUCCUUGCACCGGCCCUGCCAGCGUGGGUAGGAGAAGGCGAGACCCCAACCAAGUUGCGGUGGUUCGUGGGGUCUGCAGGGCUUAUGGUGUCUAGUGAAGUGCUUGGAGCCCUCGGGAAGCAGUAGGAGCAUCCGUCAACCGAGGUACCCAGUCGGAGUGCCAGGCGAUCCGUUACAAGCACUAUUAACCUAAAGAAUUAUUUUUUUGGGGAACUAAGCUAUAUGGGAACUAAGCUAUAUGUAAAUAAGAUGAAACUGAUUAGGUAACAUGAUAGGAAAAACAUUAAUACCGCUGGGUACUAGAAAAUAAAACAUGAAGUGAAGCAGUGAUAAGACAUAAGGUUUACAAAAUAUACUGCGCAAACUCACUUUGUGUGUCAAAAAGGCAGAAAAAACACUUAUUACCACUACACUUGGUACAAGCUAGCGGAAAAAUGGUCCCACGCUAAGGUUCAAAAUAUGCCUUUUGAAAUACCCUGGGAUGUCUUUUUUUAAGAAAUGAUAUGGCUUUAUGGGGUAUUUGGAUUAUAUAGCCUGGUAAAAUACUCUAAAAUGGGACAUGGGCACAGCGUAAAAAUUUUAAGUUUGAAAAAAAAUGGAAUGGCUGUGUCCCAAACGUGCCCCUCCGAUGUACACAUAUACCUGGCAAAGGUACAAACGGGGGUAUUGCUGUACUCAGCCGACAUAGCUGAGCAACAUAUGAAGUAUUAUACAGUGGUAGCACACAUAAGGAUUGGAUUGCAAAAUAUACUGUGCAAACUCACUUUGUGUGUCAAAAAGGCAGAAAAAACGCUUAUUAACACUACACAAAUGAUCCCACGCUAAGGUUCAAAAUAUACCUUUUGAAAUACCCUGGGGUGCCUACUUUAAGAAAUGGUAGGCCUUUGUGGGGUAGUUUGAAUUUAAAAUUUGCGAAGAUUUCUUGGAAAUUGCACAUAGGCCCAGCGUCAAAAUUCAAAGUUCCGUAAAAACUGAUAUGGCUUGGUCUCCUAUAUGGCACUGUAGCUUCACGAAAUAGUGCCAAAGAUAUUCAUUGAGGGUGUCUUUUUACUCAGAAGACUUAGCUGAGCAUAAUUUUGGGGGUUUGAACUUAGGGUCAUAUAUACAGCUUAUCCUUUUAUACUUUUUCACAUUGAAAUUUGUCAGAUUAGUUUGCUGUGUCUAGGCUGCCUUUGAGACCGCAUGGCAGCCAAGAAAUGAAAAUUACCCCCCAUCAUGGCAUACCAUUUGAAAAAAUAGAUAUCCCAGGGUAUUCAAAAUGGGGUAUGCCCAGUCUUUUGUAGAAGCCACUGGGUCACAAACCCUAGCCAAAUUUAGCAUUUGUUUUUUUUUGUGUGCAUAUUUCACAUAAAAUCUGUACUUUCACUGAUAAUAUUAUUGUUAGUAUAUAGUUAACUGCCCUGAAAUACUCCUAGUUCUGUUCAGUGAUGUCUCACGAGCACCAUGUUAAUCCCAUGUAUAGGUUUUAUGGGGUUUUGGAAAGUUACAGGGUCAUAUAUAUGGCUUACCCAUUUAUCCUUUUUUACAUUGAAAUUUGGCAAAGUGAUUUUCUGGGGCUAUAUCGCAUUUGAGAGAGCAUGGCAGCCUGGGUAAAAACAUUUCUACAAUUAUUAUGGCAUACCAUUUUCAAAAGUAGGCAACCCAGAGUAUAACAAAUGGUGCAUUUUAAGAUGUUUGGUAUAACCACUUUAUCAGAAAUGAAGGGCCCACUUAGCGGUUAUAGUUUUAUUUGUGCUUUUUCACACACAUGCACUCCCUUUUCACAGGACAUUUCACAUUCCUGAUAUGAGUUAUUGCAACAAAGCCUCACUAUUUGUAUUUAACAUUGUCUCCUGAAUGUAACAGUACUCCCAUGUACUAGAUUUUCUGUUUUUGGGGAAGUCACUGGGACAAAAAUAUUAGAUGUCCUUUUCAAAGUUGGCAAUUUGACAAAGUGAUUUUCUGGGUCUAUCUCGCCUUUGAGAGAGCAUGGCAGCCUGGGUAAUAACAUUUCCACUAUUAUGGCAUACCAUUUUCAAACGUAGGCAACCCAGAGUAUAUGAAAUGGUGCAUUGUAAGAUGUUUGGUCUAACCACUCUAUCAGAAAUGAAGGGCCCACAUAGCGGUUAUUGCUUUAUUUGUGCUUUUUCACACACAUGAACUCACUUUUCACAGGACAUUUCAUAUUCCUGAUAUGGGUUAUUGCAAGAAAGCCUCACUAUUUGUAUUUAAAAUUGUCUCCUGAAUGUAACAGUACCCCAAUGUGUAACAGUGUAAGCAUGCAGAAGCCAAACACAGAGAGAUGGACACAUGUAUUCAGGAAGUAAGAGGCCUUUAUUCACAUUACCGAUCGGGUCUCAGAUGAACUCCUGUUCCAAAAAGAUCUGAGGGACAAAUACAUGGUGUACAGAAUUUUUGUUAACAGCAUAUCCCCUCCCAUACAGUAUAACCCCUCCUAUAUUCCUCAGACCAAUCAGCACACAGGAUAUUCAGGAUCACCUUAUUUGGCAGACCACAUGGCUUGUUGAAGACAAAGGAUUUUACUAUCCACUUCCACACAUGCUCAGUACACUGAUGACUCAUCCAACUGUUUGUAAUCAGAUACUAAUUAGCAUAUGCCAUGUGGAGAUUUUGGCAUACUAAAUUUUGACCAUGCUGGAAUCCCAUCACAUUCCCCCCUUUGAUGCUUCUGAUAUAACAUUAUUCCAGAUGCAUCACUAAUCGUAAUCUACCAACACCCCUCAAGUAACCAUGAACCAGUGCAGACCUUGUAAUCAUUCUAACUUAACUUUGUGCUCUCUCAACAUUCCUCAUCCCGAUUAUUCUCUCUGUGGGCUAGUGGUUCAUACUUCCAGACAGCCAUUACAUGGGCAGCUGUCUCUCUUUCUAUAGUGCUCUCUAUAACACUACGUAUAGAUCUGACCACUAGUGGGAGUAGACAGGGCAGGAGGAAGCAUAAGAAAUAUAAUAAAUUCUACUCCUCCUACUAGUGCCUUAAUCCCUCCAAGCUGCUCAUACCAACUUCCAAACCAACUACUUGGGUUAUACCCACUCCAGACCUGAGUAAGUACAUGCACAAGUUUAACCAUGUGACUGGUAAGUUCAGCCACUGCCUGCCCUUCAUCAUCUAUGUGCAGACAACAGUUACUUAGAUUAAACUUCCCGCAUACACCUCCUUCUACUGCUAGUAAGUAAUCAAGGGCUAGCCUAUUCUGGUAUAUGGCUGAUCGCAUCCGGGUAUUCUGCUUUGCUAAGAGGUAGAGUGCUUGCGCUGUCUCAUUGGUGAUAAUCUCAAUUACCGCCUGUAGUCUUGUAAUACGAUUGAGCAUAUAUAUUGGAGUUCUAUAUCCAUAAGUACCAUCUUCUGCCCAAGUAGCAGGUCCAUAAUAAUUAAUAAUACGUUGGGGAGGCCACUAAUCAUCUUCCCAGCUACCUAUAUUCAAAGAUACUCGCUUCCUUUUUGAUUUACAUCAUAAGCCUUAACUCCCAAGGUCUCUCCUGUUUCGAUUGGCAACAAGAAGGAUGGUUUGAGCAUACCUAGCACACAUGCCCCUUCCUAGUCUUGUGGUAACUCUAAAUAUGCCUUUUUACCACAAAUCCAGUAUAGAUUUCCUAUUGGAUGUAGCAGAUAAAUCAAACCAUACCUCUUUCAAAUUAGUGUAAUUGGCAAACGGAUUAGUAGGUUCCGAGACAUUUGAAGCUGACCACCAAGUAGUAUCUUUUGUAUCAGCAUUAUAGGCCUUCUGUCCUAAGCAGGUUAACUCUCCGACAGGUGUAUUAUACAUUGGCCCUCUUCUAGCUAAACAUACAUGACCUAUGAUAGAUGUUUUUAACUGCCACUCUGAUUUACCUCUGGUACUUACUUGAUGAUCAGACUGAGAAAGUAUCUGUUGUUCAUCUGUCUCAGAACCAGGGUACCAUGCUUCCUUUGCUUCCCAUAUUAGUACCGCCACAUACAAAGCAGUUAGUUAUAUUAAGACUACCUGCAAUACUCUCAGCCAAAUCAAUAAAUAGGUUCUUAACAUAAUUGGGAAUUUUAUCCUCAAUACGCAUCUCCUCAUAGAAGGAGUGAAAAAUCUAAUGAGUCUGGGUUGCUACUGUCUCCAUUUCGAUGCCUACAUAUAUAAUAGCCCCAGUAUCCAACCCUGUUCCGUAUAUUUGGAACCCAAAUAGAUUUCCAAACUUGUCAGUAAAGUGCUGCAGAUUGGAAAUGGUCAUGUGAACGGGGUUACACUCCAUAGUUUUACAAUACGGUGUAGUGGGCAACCUUUGGAUAAUCAUAUCUUGAUCUACUGUCUUUCCCCAGGUCGCCCAACCUACACAUGACCAAUAGGGGUCUCAAUUUGGGCAGUCAGGAGCAGUAGAUCUUUUGCUAGGGCAUAAAUAUUUAUUGUCAAACCCAUAAGUCCGUUCCCAUUUCAGAUUACCACAUAAACCACAUAAAUUUGAUGCACCUUACAUGCAUCAAAUAAGAGAAUACCCGUGCAAUAUAUGGUGCUCAUCACAGUCCUAUUUAUUAAUGUCACCUGGGAGUUACUAUUCCGAAUUACCAACCAAAUUGUACGGGGUUGGAAUUGGGGAUCAAAACAUUUAGGCUCUCCUACUGCUGGGUGACACACACUGUAAUCAAUAUCUACAUUUAGAUACAGAUCCCUUACAUUCAUACUCUGAGUGCCAAAUAAGAGUUUGGGACAUUUGAUUACCUGUUUUUGUAGUCUUAAUACAACUAACACAGCUUUGAAUAUCCUUAACUUUGCCCUCCUGAAAAAUUAUAAAAAUACUAAACCAUGUAAUUAAGCACAUCAUUCUUGUGGUCCUCAUCUUAUUCUUCUACCGUGCGACGGCACCUCAGCUUCACGGUUGUGAGGGCUGCAAGGAUUGUUGUCCUUCUGAUCCUCACUUUCCUUCACAGAGAUCUCUUCGAGACACUCUGGCUUAUGACACGUAGGCAGGUGGUCAGGCUUUAUUAUGGCCGUCAAAACACCUACUUGAUGAUCUCUGUAGACCUUUAACUAGAAUGUCUCGAUAUCCCCUCGUACUUUUUCUCACGACACGUUCAAUCCAACUGGGUAAUGCGCUUCAACCGGAUCUUGCAAGGAUUCUCAGGAUCUGGAGUAGCUUGCCGAGAGUCUGCCGCUGGUUUAACCUUAGAGUGAUGAAUCCAAGGAGUCACUUCCGCCACCUUUACAGGUGUUGGGGUAGAUGAAAGAACAACAUACAAAGGCUAACAGGAUACACCCCGAGCUCUAACUCAAUAUGUAUCGAUGGGAUGUUACAAGCAAGUCCUGGAGGAUUAUUUUCUACCCAUACUCCUGGAAUGUCAAAUAAAGUUCCAUCGAUCUUAGGGUUUGCAUUUGUUAUUACAGAACAGAAGCACCAUUCUCCUUCCCUUGGCACCGAUAUCGCCAUUAUGCCAGGUGAUUUAUUAAACUUCAGAGACUUUGAUCCAUUAGGUAGAAACGUUAUCUGAGCUUGAAGUUUUGAUAAUAAAUGUUGUCCUAGAAGUUGGAUUGGACACUCAGGCAUAUGUAGGAAUUGGUGCUUCACAAAAUGGCCUCCUAGAAUGCAAGUACGACUCCUGAGAAUCGGUCUAGCAGCGCUUUUCCCAGUAGCUCCUAUCACAGUUAUAAUCUUCUCAGAAGGAGGAGCUACCAAUUUGGUCACCACAGAAUGUUCAGCACGUCUAUCAUGAAAGGACUUCUCUUUCCCCCUAUUGAUGCAUCGGCCAUAGGCUCUGCUCGGCCAAGUGGGAUGGAGCCCGGUCGGUAUCAAUAGUCUUCCAUGACAGUGUCAGCCAGACCUACAAAAUCUCUAUCUUCCCUAUCCCUUGAUCUCUGGGUAGGGGGAUAAUAUCUCCCUCAAAAACGUCCUCUACCUUGUCCUCUAUAGCUGCUACCAUAACCACCUCGCCCUCUUCUCGUCUACCACCUGAAAUAGCUACCACUAACAUGUCUAUUUUCUUCCUCAUCUUAUGUUCCUCCUCACGCUUUCUUUCAGUUUCCCUAUUCAUAUACACCUUAUUUGCAACUGCCAUUAGCUGUGAUAUAGAUAUCCCUGCAAAUCCCUCUAAUUUUUGUAGCUUUCUCUUAAUAUUGCUCUGGGCCUGGCUGACAAAUGCUGAGUCUAUCAUUCGGAAGUUUUCAGGGGCUUCAGGAUUGAAAGGAGUGUGCAAUCUAUUUGACUCAAGCAGUCUCUCAUAAAAGCACUGGGUGAUUCAUUAGCUUUUUGUAACACUUCAGCCGUCCUGGACAUGUUAAUUGCCUUUUUCCCAACUGCCUUCAUGCCAGUAAUAAUGGCUUGUUGAUAGGCCUUUAGAUGGAUCAAGUCAGCGUCAUUUACACUCUAAAGGUCAGUAAUAAUUGCUGACAAUCAGCCCAAGUGGGAUUAUGGGUCUGUAUAAUAGAGGUGGCCAAGUCAAUCAUGGCCUGAGGUUUAUUGGUGUACGAGGAGUUAUGGGUCUUCCAAUUAAACAAGUCGGAUGUGGUAAAAGGGACUUAAACAAAUACAGGAUAUGCCAACUGCAACUGUCCAUUAAUGUCAAUAUGUGGUGGGCCAGGUGUAAGUCGGAGGGACAUUUGGUAAUAUCGGGGUUGGAGGUUACCAGUCAGUUGUCGGGUUAGUAUGGGACUUCGGCAAGGCUGCUCAGUAAUAGGUCUGGGAGUAGUAAGAUAGGUGUAAGGGGGUGAGCUAAUUUUACUAGUCAGCAUUUGGUGGAUGAAUACAAAAUGAAGAAAACUUAACUUUUAAUAUAUUUAUACAUAAAAUAAAAACUUAUAUCAAUUAUUAUAUUAAAAUAGGGUAAGCAGUCCUACUCCUAUUUGUUAUAAACAAUGUAUUAUCAAUGUAACUCUCGAAGAUGGCCAGUAGGUGGCCCUAGAGUGCCUCGCUAAAGUCUAAUGAAACAGAUAGACUUUAAUUAAUUAUGUCCUUAUUUUAUUAUUACUUAUUUUAAUCACUGUCCACCCUGAUGUCUAGGCUUGAUUAAAGCUUUAGUUCCAAGGUAAAUUAAACAUCUCAGUUUGUAUUUUAGUAAAGGGGAUAUUUUGGACAAAGCUGGGAGGGGCCCAUUCAGUAACUAAAAAAAGGAUAAUAUACCUAUAAUAUAGGGGUGUAGUACAGAAAUACAAGAGUUUAAAACAAAAUUACAGAUAGGUAUGUGGGUAGGCAGGGGCAAUAGAGCAGGGGGAGUGCAAAUACCAACUAUACCAGUUUUAACUUGGGAGGAAGAGUGGAGGAAUGGCUACUCUGGCUCUGGAGGAUGAAUAGGGGGUUGGUAAUCAGAUGCAAGGGGGGGAGGGGAUGUCCAAAGCAGUUGUAAUUAAGUCCUUAGUUCUGACCACCAUGUGGCUCCAUUGUNNNNNNNNNNNNNNNNNNNNNNNNNNNNNNNNNNNNNNNNNNNNNNNNNNNNNNNNNNNNNNNNNNNNNNNNNNNNNNNNNNNNNNNNNNNNNNNNNNNNUCCUCAUAUGACAGUUUAAUUCACCAAGGCAGUUUUUCAACAAUCAGUUUCCAACAGUCAACGUAUGGAAACUGAUCAUAAAAUUCCGGCCUACUAGUUACAGCCACAUGUACACCCUGCACUAAAUUUAAGUCAAGACUGCCACAUGGAGGCCAUGCGGCCACCAGGACAGGCCACUCCCUAAUACACAGGUUUUUUUUUUUGUUUGUUUGUUUAAACAUACAAGACAAAGGGCCAACAGCCUUGUGAAUCAGAAGAUUAUUUCAACAGAACGUCUGAUUCAAAAGCUGUACAAAUAUGAACACAGUUUCAACAGUCACACCAAUCUCCUUAUCACCAGCACCACAUCGCACAGUUACUAGGCCCAAACACACACGUAGAAAAUGAUCAGAGUAGGAUCAGCGCUGGUAGUGCCACAGUAAAUAUACUGUAAAAAGGCAGCACACCUAAAAGGUGUAACCCUCCUAUCCCCUAAGGCUAAAACAGAAAUAGAAAAAUCAAAGGGAAUAGAGCGCGCCUUUAAUAAAAAUAUAUAAAAUAUAUCAAUAAAAACGUACAGUAAAAAAGGGAAUAAAAAGAGUCCAGAUAUUGUAUUCCACAGAUAUAUAGGGAGUGUUCUUGUAACGUGAUGUGGUAUCGUCCCGGAUGAUGACUUUCAAUAUUUUCAAUGGGUAAUACGUAAGGAAAUAAGAGGAACAGCCAAUGGUACAGUAUGUCUGUAUAGGUGGAUAUAUAUAAAAGAAUAAAUGGAAUUACUUACAAUUUCCAGAGCUAAAAUCCAGCUCUGGUAUGAAGUGCGUGAAUUGGAAUGAUCCCCACUCAAGGAUAUAAGCAGCCGUUUCUUGAAGAUUGGAUGAUUCACCAAGGAGUCCGACCGGAAAUUGAAGCAAAUAAAAUAUAUAGUGCUCACUGUUUUUUGAAAUUGAGCAUAGGGAUAAUAUGAAAUAUACUCACGGUGUAUUGAGCAAUCCUCUCUGCUCAAUUUUAGGCAUAUGGGUGGUAUAAUCCCCACCUAAGGAUUUUCCUUAAAUUCGUGAUGGUUCAAGUUGGUCAGGUAUAAAGAUAAAAAUUAUAAUAAAAAGAACAGGAAUGUGGCAAUAAAAUAUUUGAGGCCAAAAUUCCUUUAUUAUUACAAUAUAAAAUAGAUUAAAAUAGAUUCUAAACGCGUUUCGCCCACAACAGGCUUCUUCAAGUAGAAUAUAGUAAAUACAAUAACCUGACUGGCAGUGCUUUAUAUAGAGUUUGAUAAAUGUGCUGGAAUUUGAAUAUUCCCGCCAAAAUGACAUCAUCACAAAAUAAAAUUUAUAAAAUACAGAUCAAAACAAAGUAACAAUGGUAACAUUGACAUUAUGUUUACAUAUGGAUACAGUUUAUAUAUAUAUAUAUAUAUUAUUUAAAAACAAGAUAAAAUAAGUAAUACUGAAUAGAAAUCACGUGACGCGCGGCGUGGGAUUACUUACGCGUCACGUGGUUUCUAAGCCCAAUGGUAUUAUAAAGUAGUUAUGGUAUUAUAAAGUGGUUAUGGUAUUAUGAAGUAGUUAUGGUAUUAUGAAGUGGUUAUGGUAUUAUAAAGUGGUUAUGAUAUUUUGAAGUGGUUAUGGUAUUAUGAAGNNNNNNNNNNNNNNNNNNNNNNNNNNNNNNNNNNNNNNNNNNNNNNNNNNNNNNNNNNNNNNNNNNNNNNNNNNNNNNNNNNNNNNNNNNNNNNNNNNNNUGGUUAUGGUAUUUUGAAGUAGUUAUGGUACAGGUUUUUUAAAAUCACAGGUCAAUUAGUAACAGUUAUGGUGUUACACGUAUAACAUGAACCAACAGUUUUUUAGUAGUUAUAUACAAUACACAAUGUCAGUAAUUAUAAUACAUGUUAUUUCCAAUAAGCAGUGCGCCAUUUCUUCUUCCUUCCAGAGGGAAGGGGCAGUUUCCAUACAACCAAACCAAUUCCAAAUACAAACCCCUUGUGGGCCUACCGCUCUAACGGUAUUAAUCUUACCUCUUCGUUCCUGGACCUGGGUUCACACGCAUCGAC